GGGCGUUUAGCUCAGUUGGUUUAGAGCGCCUGCUUUACACGCAGAAGGUCGUAAGUUCGAAUCUUACAACGCCCACCA
rnacentral:tRNA from 1 species